rnacentral:rRNA from 1 species
AUUGAACGCUGGCGGCAUGCCUUACACAUGCAAGUCGAACGGCAGCACGGAGCUUGCUCUGGUGGCGAGUGGCGAACGGGUGAGUAAUAUAUCGGAACGUACCCUAGAGUGGGGGAUAACGUAGCGAAAGUUACGCUAAUACCGCAUACGAUCUAAGGAUGAAAGUGGGGGAUCGCAAGACCUCAUGCUCGUGGAGCGGCCGAUAUCUGAUUAGCUAGUUGGUAGGGUAAAAGCCUACCAAGGCAUCGAUCAGUAGCUGGUCUGAGAGGACGACCAGCCACACUGGAACUGAGACACGGUCCAGACUCCUACGGGAGGCAGCAGUGGGGAAUUUUGGACAAUGGGCGAAAGCCUGAUCCAGCAAUGCCGCGUGAGUGAAGAAGGCCUUCGGGUUGUAAAGCUCUUUUGUCAGGGAAGAAACGGUGAGAGCUAAUAUCUCUUGCUAAUGACGGUACCUGAAGAAUAAGCACCGGCUAACUACGUGCCAGCAGCCGCGGUAAUACGUAGGGUGCAAGCGUUAAUCGGAAUUACUGGGCGUAAAGCGUGCGCAGGCGGUUUUGUAAGUCUGAUGUGAAAUCCCCGGGCUCAACCUGGGAAUUGCAUUGGAGACUGCAAGGCUAGAAUCUGGCAGAGGGGGGUAGAAUUCCACGUGUAGCAGUGAAAUGCGUAGAUAUGUGGAGGAACACCGAUGGCGAAGGCAGCCCCCUGGGUCAAGAUUGACGCUCAUGCACGAAAGCGUGGGGAGCAAACAGGAUUAGAUACCCUGGUAGUCCACGCCCCAAACGAUGUCUACUAGUUGUCGGGUCUUAAUUGACUUGGUAACGCAGCUAACGCGUGAAGUAGACCGCCUGGGGAGUACGGUCGCAAGAUUAAAACUCAAAGGAAUUGACGGGGACCCGCACAAGCGGUGGAUGAUGUGGAUUAAUUCGAUGCAACGCGAAAAACCUUACCUACCCUUGACAUGGCUGGAAUCCUUGAGAGAUCAGGGAGUGCUCGAAAGAGAACCAGUACACAGGUGCUGCAUGGCUGUCGUCAGCUCGUGUCGUGAGAUGUUGGGUUAAGUCCCGCAACGAGCGCAACCCUUGUCAUUAGUUGCUACGGAAGGGCACUCUAAUGAGACUGCCGGUGACAAACCGGAGGAAGGUGGGGAUGACGUCAAGUCCUCAUGGCCCUUAUGGGUAGGGCUUCACACGUCAUACAAUGGUACAUACAGAGCGCCGCCAACCCGCGAGGGGGAGCUAAUCGCAGAAAGUGUAUCGUAGUCCGGAUUGUAGUCUGCAACUCGACUGCAUGAAGUUGGAAUCGCUAGUAAUCGCGGAUCAGCAUGUCGCAGUGAAUACGUUCCCGGGUCU